UGUUACCAUUGCUAAUGGCGGUGUGUUGCCUAACAUUCACAACAUGUUAUUGCCUAAGAGAACUGGUCCUGGCCCCCAACGGCCCUGCUGAUGAUGACAACUAAAGAUUUUCAUGUACCCUUUUUUUCUCUUUGAAGAAGCAGUCUCAUACCUUUAGCAAAUAGUAGGUUUCUGGUUACUCUUUUCCUCUUUGUAUUAGUUUUUUCAGAACCCAUUUUUUAGUGCUCACCGUUUCCUGAUUUGAUGUUCUUCGACAAAUUCAGAAAUGAAUAGGGAUUUCAUUCACA
rnacentral:misc_RNA from 1 species